rnacentral:misc_RNA from 1 species
AAGUCGUAACAAGGUUUCCGUAGGUGAACCUGCGGAAGGAUCAUUAAUGAAUAACUCGGUUGGGUUGUUGCUGGUUCUUCGGAGCAUUUGUGCACACCUACCACCAGUUUUUCAAACCCCUGUGCACCUUAUGUAGGCUUUAGAGACAUCUCUCGAGGUCACUCGGAAUUGAGAACUUGCCGCGCCUUCUCAAGGCCGGGCUGCUCUCUUGUUUCUACAGUCUAUGUCUUUAUUAUACUCCGAAUGCAUGUAACAGAACGUAGUAUUUGGCCUUCAGUGCCUUUAAAACAAAAUACAACUUUCAACAACGGAUCUCUUGGCUCUC